rnacentral:rRNA from 1 species
UAUGGGGGGGGCAAGCGUUGUUCGGAAUUACUGGGCGUAAAGGGCUCGUAGGUGGCCAACUAAGUCAGACGUGAAAUCCCUCGGCUUAACCGGGGAACUGCGUCUGAUACUGGAUGGCUUGAGUUUGGGAGAGGGACGCGGAAUUCCAGGUGUAGCGGUGAAAUGCGUAGAUAUCUGGAGGAACACCGGUGGCGAAGGCGGCGUCCUGGACCAACACUGACACUGAGGAGCGAAAGCCAGGGGAGCAAACGGG